UACGUAGGGUGCGAGCGUUAAUCGGAAUUACUGGGCGUAAAGCGUGCGCAGGCGGUUAUGUAAGACAGGUGUGAAAUCCCCGGGCUUAACCUGGGAACUGCAUUUGUGACUGCAUAGCUAGAGUACGGUAGAGGGGGAUGGAAUUCCGCGUGUAGCAGUGAAAUGCGUAGAUAUGCGGAGGAACACCGAUGGCGAAGGCAAUCCCCUGGACCUGUACUGACGCUCAUGCACGAAAGCGUGGGGAGCAA
rnacentral:rRNA from 1 species